ACCAGCAGCCAUAUCACUCUGCAACUCACAACUAGCAACCCACUGAAGCUCAGCAGGUGUGAGCCUGGUCAGUACCUGGAUGGGAGACCUCCUGGGAAAAACUAAGGUUGUUAGUG
rnacentral:rRNA from 1 species